rnacentral:tRNA from 1 species
GUGCCUGUAGCUCAGUGGAUAGAGCGCCAGAUUGCGGAUCUGGAGGUCGGAGGUUCAAAUCCUCCCAGGCAUACCA